GUCAAGGUGCCAGAGUGGUUAAUGGGCUGCCCUGCUAUCAAAAACCUUGAUUCCAGAUUAGGCAGUGGCUUCGGUCGCGCAGGUUCGAAUCCUGUCCUUGACG
rnacentral:tRNA from 1 species